rnacentral:rRNA from 1 species
UUUUUUUAGAAAUUUAUUAAAAAUAUAAUCUGCCCCCUGAAUUUUUAAGGGCCGCGGUAACUUGACCGUGCAAAGGUAGCAUAAUCAGUAGUCUUUUAAUUGAAGACUUGUAUGAACGAUUGAAUGGAAGAUAAACUGUAUCUUUAUAAAUUUUAAAAUUUUAAUUUAAUGUAAGAAUACAUUAAUAUAAUUUAAAGACGAUAAGACCCUAUAGAUCUUUACAAUAUACUAAUAAUUGUUUUAUUGGGGCAAUAAGAAACAAGAAUGUUUCUAAAAAAUACCAUUGAUAAAUGAAUUUAUAACCUUUUUUUAAAAAACUAAAUAAGAUACCUUAGGGAUAACAGCGUAAUUUCUUUAGAGAGUACACAUUAACAAAGAAGAUUGCGACCUCGAUGUUGGAUUAAAAUAAAAUAUAGAUGAAGAAGUUUAUAAUUUUAGUCUGUUCGACUAUUAAAAUUUUACAUGAUCUGAGUUCAAACCGGCGUAAG